ACCCCGUUAAGGUUGAGCCAAGCUCAGGAGCUCGAGUUUUAUAUCCUACCGCCCUACUUCCCCCAGUACCACGCUGCGUCCCUCGAUCGCCGCCUCCAACGACUCUUGGUCGGGUCCGACAUCGUCGCCGGCACUUCCCUCUCUCUGCCCAAUCAGUUCAUCUCCUCCCGGCCUCCGGCGCCGUCUUCCCUCUCCGAUCUCCAUCAAGAUGUCCACUGGAGGCCCCCCUCGGCCGCUGCGGAUUCUCGCUACCGCCGCCGGGUACUUCUUUGGGGGCUUGUUCACCCUCUCCCUGGCUUCUUCUGUGGCUAUGCGAUCCUUGCAGUCCUUCAUGGAAGCUAAGAGAAAGAAGGUGGCUCCGCCCUGUGCAUCUUGCAAAGGAAAAGGCUUCUACGGAUGCAAACUAUGCAAAGGGAAAUCCACCAUCGAGUGGUCUCCCCUGUACGAUCCUAUAGUUAUCAACCCUUGUCUCUGCCCAACUUGUGAGGGAAACAAGUCGGUAUUCUUUGAUAGCUGCAAUUUUUAUUAUUAUUAUUUUUUUUAUUUUUUGAUAUUUUGAUCACUGGCAUCAACAUUCGUUGUUAAGUAUAGUUACUAGGCAGAAAUUUCAUCUUUAACUCUCUCCUCUACAACUUUAAGACCUAAUUACUCAAGGUAACUUUAAACUAGUGUGUAGUGGUUCAGCUCUCUCUCUCUCUCUCACUGACGAUUCCAUGAACUUGUCUCUUGGCAGAAUCCAGAGGUGCUUGAACUGUCUUGGGAAGGGUUAUGUAUGAUAAAUCAUAUGAUGGAGCACAAUUGUGAUUUUGAUCAGGUUUCUCUCAUCGCGCUGGAGAUUGAGAACAAGGUGCAAGAGGCCAGAGUUUUCUUGCUGCUACAACUUGAGCCAAUAACCCAAGUUUUUUUCUCUGCAUCUGGUUAUUAUGCAAGGUCUCGACAAUGCAAGCUUAGAAGUUGAUUUCAUCAACAGAUGUUGCAUUUACCAACUUUGUAUUAGAUCAAAUGAUAAAAUGCCAUUUCUUGCAUAUACUGUGUUUCA